GUGCCGAUAGCUUAAAUGGUAGAGCAUGGAGCUGAAGUUUCCAAUGAGGUAGUUCAAUUCUGCCUCGGCACA
rfam:Cryptococcus amylolentus CBS 6039 supercont1.15, whole genome shotgun sequence.